rnacentral:rRNA from 3 species
AACUUUUAACAACGGAUCUCUUGGUUCUCGCAUCGAUGAAGAACGUAGCAAAGUGCGAUAACUAGUGUGAAUUGCAUAUUCAGUGAAUCAUCGAGUCUUUGAACGCAUCUUGCACCUGCUGGUAUUCCAGCAGGUACGCCUGUUUCAGUA